CCUACGGGAGGCUGCAGUGAGGAAUAUUGGUCAAUGGUCGGGAGACUGAACCAGCCAAGCCGCGUGAGGGAUGAAGGUACAGAGUAUCGUAAACCUCUUUUGUCAGGGAACAAAGGCGGGGACGUGUCCCCGGAUGAGUGUACCUGAAGAAAAAGCAUCGGCUAACUCCGUGCCAGCAGCCGCGGUAAUACGGAGGAUGCGAGCGUUAUCCGGAUUUAUUGGGUUUAAAGGGUGCGCAGGCGGUCUGUUAAGUCAGCGGUCAAAGCCCGGGGCUCAACCCCGGCCCGCCGUUGAAACUGGCAGUCGCGAGUUGGAGAGAAGUAUGCGGAAUGCGCGGUGUAGCGGUGAAAUGCAUAGAUAUCGCGUAGAACUCCGAUUGCGAAGGCAGCAUGCCGGCUCCACACUGACGCUGAGGCACGAAAGCGUGGGUAUCGAACAGGAUUAGAUACCCUUGUAGUC
rnacentral:rRNA from 1 species